CUUGACAUUUUUGGCCAGGACCCCUUUUCAAUAAAAGGAAACAAAAGCUGCACCUCGUAUCUGGUGUUCUUCAUUGGCUUCACUAGGCUCAGACCCAAACUGGGGACAGCAAUCUGGGGGCUCAUCCCAGAAUUCCACACCUAGAUUUGAUUGGAAGACAUCAAUAACCACCAGAGGAAGACACCAAUAACCACCAAAUGGUUACAGAAUCCUUCAAUCUAAAAUGCUGUUAAUAAGACUGGGCCCAUGUCGCUGCUUCAAACUUUUCCUACAAGAACUGUUUGGCAAAUGAAAAUCUGAGAAAGAAAAGGAAAAGACAUCAAUGAAAGUCUAAAGGCAAGCAGGCAAACUUCCAUUCUCUGCAAAGAGAACAGUGCUUAUUCAUGAUUCAGUAUCACAUAGAAGUUGCUUAAGUUUUCCCAUUCUUCAUAUUUUCACUUCAUGGUGCAAUUAAUCAAUAAUAUUUAAAAAUUCACUUGUAAUGUGUUGCCAUCAAAAUUAAUUUUUGUGCUUUUGGUUGUCUGACAGUGACUAAAUUCUUUGUCUUGGAGUAAA